rnacentral:lncRNA from 1 species
UCCUUAUUGUCAUUUUUUGAUCACAUAUCUUUUGUCGAGUGGCUGUCUGCCCUCACGCCUAGUAUAAUACCAACUGUUAUUAAUGAUUAAGAGUUGAAUCUGUUUUGUUAUAUGGAUUUACUAUAUAAGUUUGUUUUUUGGACCUGUAGAUCUUUAUUAUCUAUUGAAUGGUUCAAGUGUGGCUUAGUCUAAUUAAUCUUGUAAUGAUAGUAUUGUUAUUAUUCUAGACCGCCCGUAUUUCCUAAGCCUAUUUCUGAAUACUCUCAAUACUCACAAAUACACAACCUAGCCUGUAGUUAGUAAGAAACCUAUUUAGAUAUCAUUUUAAGAACGCCACUGACUGUCCAAUUACCUGUUCCCGCUUCCCAUGACGUCAGUGAUAUCUCGUCCAAUCACUUAUCCCAUCUCCCAUGACGUCAGCAAUCUCUCGUCCAAUCACUUGUCCCAUCUCCCAUGACGUCAGCAAUCUCUCGUCCAAACACUUGUCCCAACUUCCCAUGACGUCACUAAUUCUCUCGUCCAAUAAACAUGCCCCGCUUGUCACGACGUCUGAGGCAUGUUCAAAAACCCAACCAGGAGAAAGUUUUUUCAUUUGCACAUCUCACACUCUAACACUAACACACUAACCGGAACGGAGAUCCUAUGGGGCUGCCAAACGAAUUCCUUUGACCGGCUCAAACAAGACGUGGUGUAGUCCUUUUCUCUUCACACUGCAGCCGCUCGAUUACCCGCAGGAGUGAGAAGAAAAGGAAUGCAAAACAUGUGGCUGUCGGAUUUUACUUUUCCCCAUAUACAUGUCGUCCACACACAAGAGGACAGUAUUUGCGGCGGCUUCGGUACGGCCGGGUGCUGGACGGGGGCCAGCGCUAUAAUAUAUUGCCACUAUAAUCAAAAUCAAAAGAAAAUCAUUGAAAAUAAAGUGAUGAAAUAAGAGAGUGAAUUCAGUGUCGACGAGUGCUUCAAGACAACUGCAAGCAUCAUCUGAAGAAGGUCGUCAGUGUCAAGAAAGAAAAUUCAAGCAAAAAAAAUAAAAUUGUUUGAAAAAAAAUGAAAAAGCAAAAGAAAAGUGGCAAUAUAUAUGUGGACGGAAAAAGUGUGUAAUUGAAAAAAAAAAGUGUCCGACAUACGUGACGCAAGUAUGUCUGUGAAAAAGUAAAUAAAUAUAUAAAUAAUCACGCUAAAUACCAGGAAACACACGAGGCUAAAAUCUAUUUUUAAAAAACGGGGCUGAAACAACAAAACCAAAGACGGUAAACGAAAAAAAACGCAAUAAAAGACACGAGAGCGCGCACACACACACGCACGAUCACCCAAACGCGUCAAAAAGAAGCCAACGAAACCCACGCACUUCAUCCCUUGGCAACGAAACUCCUGAAGCCACGAGGAGACCACACUAGGAGGACCAGCUGAAACUCCUGCAAAUCCCUGCAUCCACGCGCUUCUCCCACGACGCAGCGGACGCAGCAUCUCCCUUCAUCAUCUCUCCUGCCGAUGCUGAUGCUGGGACGCCUCUUGUUCCUCCUCCUUCGUCAGCGACUCCUUCAGCACCCUCGGGACGCAGCGGAGGCCGAGCGGAGGUCCUGCAUCGGCGGAGACUGCGGCUGGACUCUCAAGGUACGCGGAAGUGACGUCAUGUCUUCGAGCGUAGGCCUACCUGAGCAGCCGGAAGCCCCGUGCUCUCUGUCAGCUGUUGUGUUACUUUCCAUCGGCGUCGUUGAAAGCAGAAUGCAGAAAGAGCAAGGGAGUCAGAAGUGAUGGAUAGUGUGUGUGGUGUAGACGGUAGUGUUUCACCCUUUCUGUCCGAGAUAUUUACGUGUAACACCCACUCUACUGUGUUCUGGCUAUUGUCUCCAAAGACUGUGUAUAUAGAGUCAUG